rnacentral:rRNA from 1 species
UACGGAGGGGGCUAGCGUUGUUCGGAAUUACUGGGCGUAAAGCGCACGUAGGCGGCUUUGUAAGUCGGGUGUGAAAGCCCCGGGCUCAACCUGGGAAUUGCAUUCGAGACUGAAUAGCUAGGGUACGGUAGAGGGAAGUGGAAUUUCCGGUGUAGCGGUGAAAUGCGUAGAUAUCGGAAGGAACAUCAGUGGCGAAGGCGGUUCUCUGGGCAUUACCUGACGCUGAGGAGCGAAAAUGUGGGGAGCGAACAGG